UACAGAGGUCCCGAGCGUUGUUCGGAUUCACUGGGCGUAAAGGGUGCGUAGGUGGCCUAAAAAGUUUGAUGUGAAAGCUCAGGGCUUAACCCUGAAAUGGCAUUGAAUACUGUUGGGCUGGAGGUUUGGAGGGGGGACUGGAAUUCUUGGUGUAGCAGUGAAAUGCGUAGAUAUCAGGAGGAACACCUAUAGCGAAGGCAGCUUGCUGGGACGUUACUGACGCUAAGGCGCGAAAGCGUGGGGAGCGAACAGG
rnacentral:rRNA from 1 species